rnacentral:rRNA from 1 species
UACGGAGGGGACUAGCGUUGUUCGGAAUUACUGGGCGUAAAGCGCACGUAGGCGGAUUUGUAAGUCAGGGGUGAAAUCCCGGGGCUCAACCUCGGAACUGCCUUUGAUACUGCAAAUCUCGAGUCCGGAAGAGGUGAGUGGAAUUCCUAGUGUAGAGGUGGAAUUCGUAGAUAUUAGGAAGAACACCAGUGGCGAAGGCGGCUCACUGGUCCGGUACUGACGCUGAGGUGCGAAAGCGUGGGGAGCAAACAGG